UACAUUGUCUUUUUAUCUCAUCACAUUGAAGCUACGAAACACUGCUUACAUUUACAUUUUAUAUAUUGUAAUAUCAUUACUCGAUUGCACCCCCCAUGCCACCCCAGUAGAUCCACUCCUGAAAACACACUAAUGCAUAAAUACAGUUUAAGUGUCAAAACGUCUCUCAAACACUAAUUUUCUCUCCCUCAGACGGAUCAUCCUCAUCGUGCUGAUGUAUAUGACCUGUUCCCAGGAACAUUUCAGACCAUAGAGAUGACUGUAGGAAGUCCUGGACAGUGGCUGCUUCACUGCCAUGUGACCGAUCACAUCCAUGCGGGCAUGGAGACGCUUUUCACUGUUCAUCCGAGAGGGUCAUCAGGUUCAUCAAGGAGUGAUGAGGAAUAUCCAGACAGUGCCUUCGGUCAUUUUGGAAACCUGUCUACUCUGAUGUUGUGUCUCCUUGGAUUGGUCCUGUCACAAUUUGUAGCACACUGAAAAAAGAUCCAAGUGACCAUGAGCCCGAUAGAACUGAUAUUUAUUGCUGUGACACUGAUGCUCACUACUUGGUUACCUCAUCUAGUAUUCUCACUGUAUAGCUGUUAGGGAAACUGUUCAGCUGUUGAGGGAAACAGCUAUUACAUAAGAUAUAAAGAUUAGUCAUUCAAUUUUGAUUUAACAUGCAAGGAAUGAUUCAUAUAAUUGCUUCAGUUAAUAGAAUCAAAGCUUAAAGAAGAAUGCACUUUACUCCCCUGCACUGCAUGUUUAUUAGGGCUCUCUGAUUGGAAGUGAGCAUCCCGAUGUGCUAGAGCAGAGCCCUUGAAAUGGGGACUUUGGAGGGAGCGGGGCUCUUGCACUGAAGGGAGCAAUGAAAGACAACAUAUUUUCUUCAUUAUCUUCACCUAGAAUGUUAGCAUGACUACAGUAUCCAUAAGCACAAUGCAUCAGCUGUACUUGCAGUAGAAUUAUACUAUGUCAGAUGCUUUCGAUUCCCAUGAAUGCACUAAUGGUGGCCACAACUGCCUCUGCUAUCUUAGUAGUGACCGAGUAAGAGUAAGUUGAGUGAUGAGUGUGUGUUACUUUCUUACUCCAUAAUUUGUUUUGUAUGGAUGGUUGCACAGAUGUCCUGGUUUUCAAUUGUUGUUUUUUAUGUGAUUUAAGAUUGCUGUGACAUUUCUAUUUCUGAUUUGGAAUAUUUAUAAUCUUAGUUGUUCACUGUUUUUCUGAUGAACGGCGGUUCAUGUUCUGGAACUGAAUUGCAAAGUUAAGAACAAAAAUGAAUAAAAUGAGCUUAACUGUGAAAGAUAACAAAA